GGGCGGUUAGCUCAGCUGGUUAGAGCGCAGCGUUGACAUCGCUGAGGUCAUAGGUUCGACUCCUAUACCGCCCACCA
rnacentral:tRNA from 1 species